rnacentral:tRNA from 1 species
GCCGAAGUGGUGGAAUUGGCAGACGCGCUGGACUCAAAAUCCAGUGGGCAUUGCGCCCGUGUGGGUUCGACUCCCACCUUCGGCACCA